GCUCAGGACGAACGCUGGCGGCGUGCCUAAUACAUGCAAGUCGAGCGAAUUUGAGGGAGCUUGCUCCCAAAGAUUAGCGGCGGACGGGUGAGUAACACGUGGGCAACCUGCCUGUAAGACUGGGAUAACUUCGGGAAACCGGAGCUAAUACCGGAUAAUCCUUUUCCUCUCAUGAGGAAAAGCUGAAAGAUGGCUUCGGCUAUCACUUACAGAUGGGCCCGCGGCGCAUUAGCUAGUUGGUGAGGUAACGGCUCACCAAGGCGACGAUGCGUAGCCGACCUGAGAGGGUGAUCGGCCACACUGGGACUGAGACACGGCCCAGACUCCUACGGGAGGCAGCAGUAGGGAAUCUUCCGCAAUGGACGAAAGUCUGACGGAGCAACGCCGCGUGAGUGAUGAAGGUUUUCGGAUCGUAAAACUCUGUUGUUAGGGAAGAACAAGUACCGUUCGAAUAGGGCGGUACCUUGACGGUACCUAACCAGAAAGCCACGGCUAACUACGUGCCAGCAGCCGCGGUAAUACGUAGGUGGCAAGCGUUGUCCGGAAUUAUUGGGCGUAAAGCGCGCGCAGGCGGUCUUUUAAGUCUGAUGUGAAAGCCCCCGGCUCAACCGGGGAGGGUCAUUGGAAACUGGGAGACUUGAGUGCAGAAGAGGAGAGUGGAAUUCCACGUGUAGCGGUGAAAUGCGUAGAGAUGUGGAGGAACACCAGUGGCGAAGGCGACUCUCUGGUCUGUAACUGACGCUGAGGCGCGAAAGCGUGGGGAGCGAACAGGAUUAGAUACCCUGGUAGUCCACGCCGUAAACGAUGAGUGCUAAGUGUUAGAGGGUUUCCGCCCUUUAGUGCUGCAGCAAACGCAUUAAGCACUCCGCCUGGGGAGUACGGCCGCAAGGCUGAAACUCAAAGGAAUUGACGGGGGCCCGCACAAGCGGUGGAGCAUGUGGUUUAAUUCGAAGCAACGCGAAGAACCUUACCAGGUCUUGACAUCCUCUGACAAUCCUAGAGAUAGGACUUUCCCCUUCGGGGGACAGAGUGACAGGUGGUGCAUGGUUGUCGUCAGCUCGUGUCGUGAGAUGUUGGGUUAAGUCCCGCAACGAGCGCAACCCUUGAUCUUAGUUGCCAGCAUUCAGUUGGGCACUCUAAGGUGACUGCCGGUGACAAACCGGAGGAAGGUGGGGAUGACGUCAAAUCAUCAUGCCCCUUAUGACCUGGGCUACACACGUGCUACAAUGGAUGGUACAAAGGGCUGCAAGACCGCGAGGUUUAGCCAAUCCCAUAAAACCAUUCUCAGUUCGGAUUGCAGGCUGCAACUCGCCUGCAUGAAGCCGGAAUCGCUAGUAAUCGCGGAUCACAUGCCCGGGGGGAAAUACGUUCCCGGGCCUUGUACACACCGCCCGUCACACCACG
rnacentral:rRNA from 1 species